GAUGAACGCUAGCGAUAGGCUUAACACAUGCAAGUCGAGGGGCAGCAUUAUUUUAGCUUGCUAAGAUAGAUGGCGACCGGCGCACGGGUGCGUAACGCGUAUGCAACCUGCCUGUAAUUAGGGAAUAACCCGGUGAAAGUCGGACUAAUACCCUAUAUUCUUCUUUCUCCGCAUGGAGGAGGAUGGAAAGAUUUAUUGAUUACAGAUGGGCAUGCGUCCCAUUAGCUAGUUGGUAAGGUAACGGCUUACCAAGGCAACGAUGGGUAGGGGGACUGAGAGGUUGACCCCCCACACUGGUACUGAGACACGGACCAGACUCCUACGGGAGGCAGCAGUGAGGAAUAUUGGUCAAUGGGCGAGAGCCUGAACCAGCCAAGUCGCGUGAAGGACGACGGUUCUAUGGAUUGUAAACUUCUUUUGUAGAGGAAUAAUGGCAGCUACGUGUAGCUGAGAUGCAUGUACUCUACGAAUAAGUAUCGG
rnacentral:rRNA from 1 species